GGGGGACGAUAACGGCGUCGAGCGGCGGACGGGUGAGUAAUGCCUAGGAAAUUGCCCUGAUGUGGGGGAUAACCAUUGGAAACGAUGGCUAAUACCGCAUGAUGCCUACGGGCCAAAGAGGGGGACCUUCGGGCCUCUCGCGUCAGGAUAUGCCUAGGUGGGAUUAGCUAGUUGGUGAGGUAAGGGCUCACCAAGGCGACGAUCCCUAGCUGGUCUGAGAGGAUGAUCAGCCACACUGGAACUGAGACACGGUCCAGACUCCUACGGGAGGCAGCAGUGGGGAAUAUUGCACAAUGGGCGCAAGCCUGAUGCAGCCAUGCCGCGUGUAUGAAGAAGGCCUUCGGGUUGUAAAGUACUUUCAGUCGUGAGGAAGGCGGCGUCGUUAAUAGCGGCGUCGUUUGACGUUAGCGACAGAAGAAGCACCGGCUAACUCCGUGCCAGCAGCCGCGGUAAUACGGAGGGUGCGAGCGUUAAUCGGAAUUACUGGGCGUAAAGCGCAUGCAGGUGGUUUGUUAAGUCAGAUGUGAAAGCCCGGGGCUCAACCUCGGAAUAGCAUUUGAAACUGGCAGACUAGAGUACUGUAGAGGGGGGUAGAAUUUCAGGUGUAGCGGUGAAAUGCGUAGAGAUCUGAAGGAAUACCGGUGGCGAAGCGGCCCCCUGGACAGAUACUGACACUCAGAUGCGAAAGCGUGGGGAGCAAACAGAUUAGAUACCCUGGUAGUCCACGCCGUAAACGAUGUCUACUUGGAGGUUGUGGCCUUGAGCCGUGCCUUUCUGAGCUUACC
rnacentral:rRNA from 1 species